GGCUUCAUGGCUCAGUUGGUUAGAGCGUCGCACCGCUAUCGCGAGGUCACGGGUUCAAACCGGUUGAAGUCC
rnacentral:tRNA from 1 species